AUUGACCGCUGGCGGCAUGCCUUACACAUGCAAGUCGAACGGCAGCNCGGGGCCAACCCUGGCGGCGAGUGGCGAACGGUUGAGUAAUACAUCGGAACGUGUCCUGGAGUGGGGGAUAGCCCGGCGAAAGCCGGAUUAAUACCGCAUACGAUCCACGGAUGAAAGCGGGGGACCGAAAGGCCUCGCGCUCAAGGGGCGGCCGAUGGCAGAUUAGCUAGUUGGUGGGGUAAAGGCCUACCAAGGCGACGAUCUGUAGCUGGUCUGAGAGGACGACCAGCCACACUGGGACUGAGACACGGCCCAGACUCCUACGGGAGGCAGCAGUGGGGAAUUUUGGACAAUGGGGGCAACCCUGAUCCAGCAAUGCCGCGUGUGUGAAGAAGGCCUUCGGGUUGUAAAGCACUUUUGUCCGGAAAGAAAACCUCCGUCCUAAUACGGUGGGGGGAUGACGGUACCGGAAGAAUAAGCACCGGCUAACUACGUGC
rnacentral:rRNA from 1 species